CCUGGCAACAGCCAAUAAGAGGAAAGGGUUACGACUGCACUUUCUGGCGCUCGACAAUGCUAUCUCGUUGAAGACCCAAUUGGCGUCUGCUAAAAUGAAAACUAUCUGAGCGUUGAGUGAAGGGCUGAAGGCUGCAAGAGGGCAACGACACGCCGUGUGUUUCGGCUUGUUUCGACGGAUUGUUAUAACCAGGUUUUUUAAAAAAUUGUAAUUGAAAAAAGUUAAGAAAUCAGUCCUGAGUUUAAUAAUUCAUUCAGUUGUGCAUAUGUACCUCAACGGAAAGCCAUACGCUUUUUAAAAAAAGAACAACACAAUUUGAAGGAAAGAUGAAACAUGGAGUCAUUUCAUGGUCUUGCCACUUCACAUACAAAAGUGCUGUAUGUCUCAAUGUGGGAAAGAAGGAAUCCAAACAGUCCCUUCAGCAAGAAAGUCGACUUUGAAAUCUGUGAAAGAAUUUCCUUUACAAAAAAGUACACUGUCCAGAGCCGGGAAACAUACUCAUCUGUUGGGUACAAAAGUUCACCAGGGUCUAGAACAAACAGUUACAGUAGGUAGUAGGAGUUAGACAUUAUUACAAUUUUGUUAUUGAUAGAUUACCUAGGCGAUAAAUCAACUGCAUCAGUGAGUCAAAACUUUUUGUCCUCUGGAAUCUAGCGAUACAGUCAACGCAAAAUUUCUGCUCCACCAGAACGCGUAUAGUGUAUCCAGCUAGAAAGGCCGCAGUGCUUGAUUGUGAUGAUGGCUGUAACUUUUCUGUAAAAAAAAAAUUAUUCUUUGGACAAGAAACAGCGUUUUUUCCAUCAGAUGCUGUACAUGAAGGUUUUUUUAAUUGCUCGAGUAUCCGAAAAAAUAAAGCUGAUUCGCGUGACAAGAUUGUAUUGCCGUAAAUGGAUUUGUAGGCUAUGCCUGUACGAAGGAUCUUCUCAAAUGCCUGUGAAACUGCCGUUGCGUACCCCUUAAAGUUUCCUCCAAUCAUCUGGUGAAUGGCACCAAUCAACUGCUCUACAGGAUCACUGGAGAAUCUCCUUAACCCCAUUCUACAACGAGACCAGCUUCGUCGUCCUGUGGCCAAUUGGAUAUAUCUACCCAGUCAUCAUGUCGUUCAACGCGCUGGCGUUGCUGAAUCAAAGCUGUUCGUCUACUCGAUGAGUUUGCAGCGAUUACAAUCGACACUUUCGUUGUUGGGGCAGUAGUUAGAGUCGGCAGAAUCUUUGCUGGAGUUGCUGGAUUAGUCCCUAAAUUUAUGAAGGAGGUAGUCGCAAUGGAAAUCAGUGGAUUUAUGGGUGGGAUUAGAUUAUUCCUGAAACCAUCGUUUGAAUCAUCUGAUUCGUAUCUGGA
rnacentral:lncRNA from 1 species